CAGUCGCGCGGUAAUACGAGGGGAGCUAGCGUUGUUCGGAAUUACUGGGCGUAAAGCGCGCGUAGGCGGCUUUUUAAGUCAGAGGUGAAAGCCCGGGGCUCAACCCCGGAAUUGCCUUUGAAACUGGAAAGCUAGAAUCUUGGAGAGGUCAGUGGAAUUCCGAGUGUAGAGGUGAAAUUCGUAGAUAUUCGGAAGAACACCAGUGGCGAAGGCGACUGACUGGACAAGUAUUGACGCUGAGGUGCGAAAGCGUGGGGAGCAAACAGGAUUAGAUACCCCAGUAGUCCCUGUCUCUUAUACA
rnacentral:rRNA from 1 species